rnacentral:rRNA from 1 species
UGCGUAGGCGGAUGGGUAAGUGGGUCGUGAAAGCGCCGGGCUAAACCGGGCGAGGACGAACUAGACUGCCUGUCUAGAGGCGGAUAGAGGGGUGCGAAAUUCCGGGUGUAGCGGUGAAAUGUGUAGAGAUCCGGAGGAACACCAGUGGUGCAAACGGCGCCCUGGGUCCGAACUGACGCUGAGGCACGAAAGCGUGGGGAGCGAAG